GCUCCGGUUGCCUAGAGGUUAGAGUGUCCACCUUGGAUGAGGGAGGUCGUGGGUUCGAUCCCCAGUCGAGUCA